rnacentral:lncRNA from 1 species
CAAGUAACGUUGCCCUAGUUUCAUAACAGCUUAUUGCCUAGGUUCAGUCCUGAGCAUAGACCAGUGGAAAAAAUAAGACUGGAAAUAGGAAGCUCCUGAGUGCUCCUAAGAGAGUCUAGGAAGCUCCUGAGUGCUCCUAAGGGAGUCUAGUGUCUACUGGUCCUUGUCUCAGUUCUGAGAGUAGGACCAGCUCCAACUGCUAUUUAGGGAAAUGUUGCCCCCACUGAAAUUAGCCCAUGUCUAGACUAGAUUGAGUGUAAACUGUAAUGAGACAAAAUUAGUUUACUCUUCCGGUGGGCCUUAUUAAUACUACUACUAAUAAAUAUUGGCCGGGCGCGGUGGCUCACGCCUGUAAUCCCAGCACUUUGGGAAGCCGAGGUGGGUGGAUCAUGAGGUCAGGAGUUUGAGACCAGUCUGGCCAAUAUGGUGAAACUCCAUCUCUACUAAAAAUCCAAAAAAAAAAAAAAAAAAAAAAAAAAAACUAGCCAGGCAUAGUGGCACGUGCCCGUACUCCCAGCUACUCGGGAGGCUGAGGCAGGAGAAUCACUUGAACCCAGGAGGCGGAAGUUGCACUGAGGCAAGAUUGUGCCACUGUACUCCACCCUGGGCAAUAGAGGGAGACUCCAUCUCAUCAUAAUAAUAAAUAUUACUUAUCAAAUACUUGCUAUAUACUAGACACUGAACUGGGCACUUCCUAUACAUUGUCAAAUUUAAUCUUCCUAACAACUCUACAAGGUAGUUUUUAUUAGUCCCAUAAGACAGAUGAGUAAACUGAAGACCCAGGAGGCUAAAUAACUUGCUGAAGUUGGCUCAUUCACCAAAGGAUGGAUGUGGGAUGUCACUCUAGUUAUUAUAAUUGACGCCAAUUAUACUAUGAACAGAUUCAACACACCAGAUUGGAUGAGUCUCUCUGGCCCAGGAUAAGUCUACAAAUGCCUGCCAAGGGUGCUGUUCUCCAGCAAGCCUCUCAUGGGAAUGCAUUUUCCAGGGACCAGCCAAAUCCCC